GUUGGCUUGGAAGCAGCCAUUCAUUUAAAGAGUGCGUAACAGCUCACUAGUCGAGGGGUCUGGCAUGGAUAAUAAUCGGGCAUAAGCGGUUUACCGAAGCUAUGGAUAUCGUAAGAUAUGGUAGGGGAGCAUUCCAUACGGCGUCGAAGAUAAAGGGUGACUUUUGUUGGAGCGUAUGGAAAAGCAAAUGUAGGUAUGAGUAACGAUAAAGGAGGUGAAAAACCUCCUCGCCGAAAGACCAAGGUUUCCUGAUCAACGCUAAUCGGAUCAGGGUUAGUCGGGGCCUAAGGAUAAGCCGAAAGGCGAUUCCGAUGGAAGAGCCGGUUAAUAUUCCGGCACUGCUAUAUUGAGCGAUGUGGGGACGGAGAAGUGACAGCACUGCCAACUGAUGGAAUAGUUGGUUGAAGGGUGUAGACGUUGAUUGCGGCAGGCAAAUCCGCCGCGAGAGUCGAACCUGACAGUAUGCAGCGUACUUGUACAAUGUAAUAUGUGCGUAAACAGGCUCCCAAGAAAAUCCGCUAAGCAUAUUGAUAUAGCACUCGUACUGUAAACGGACACACGUGGUCGGGUUGAAAAUACUAAGGCGCUCGAGUGAUUCACGGUUAAGGAACUAGGCAAAAUGGUCCUGUAACUUCGGGAGAAAGGACGCCAAUUGAAACAUAUUGGCCGCAGAGAAUAGGCCCAGGCGACUGUUUAACAAAAACACAUGACUAUGCUAAAUCGAAAGAUGAUGUAUAUGGUCUGACACCUGCCCGGUGCUGGAAGGUUAAGAGGAGAACUCAUCGCAAGAGAAGGUUUGAAUUGAAGCCCCAGUAAACGGCGGCCGUAACUAUAACGGUCCUAAGGUAGCGAAAUUCCUUGUCGGGUAAGUUCCGACCUGCACGAAUGGUGUAACGAUCUGGGCACUGUCUCAACUGUGAGCUCGGUGAAAUUGUAGUAUCGGUGAAGAUGCCGAUUACCCGCGAUGGGACGAAAAGACCCCGUGAACCUUUACUAUAGCUUUACAUUGACGUUGGGCAUCCGAUGUGUAGGAUAGGCCGGAGACUGUGAAGCGGUGACGCCAGUCAUCGUGGAGUCGUUGUUGAAAUACGGCCCUUUGGGUGUUUGACUUCUAACUCCUGAUUAAUGGGAGGACACUGUAUGGUGGGUAGUUUGACUGGGGUGGUCGCCUCCAAAAGCGUAACGGAGGCUUCUAAAGGUACCCUCAGGCCGAUUGGUAACCGGUCGCAGAGUGUAAUGGCAUAAGGGUGCUUGACUGAGAGACUUACAAGUCGACCAGGUAGGAAACUAGAGCAUAGUGAUCCGGUGGUUCCGUAUGGAAGGGCCAUCGCUCAAAGGAUAAAAGGUACUCCGGGGAUAACAGGCUGAUC
rnacentral:rRNA from 1 species